rnacentral:rRNA from 1 species
UACGUAGGGGGCUAGCGUUGUCCGGAUUUAUUGGGCGUAAAGAGCGUGUAGGCGGCCAGGUAGGUCUGGUGUGAAAACUCGAGGCUUAACCUCGAGAUGUCAUCGGAAACCAUCUGGCUAGAGUCCGGAAGAGGAGAGUGGAAUUCCUGGUGUAGCGGUGAAAUGCGCAGAUAUCAGGAAGAACACCCGUGGCUAAGGCGGCUCUCUAGUACGGUACUGACGCUGAGACGCGAAAGCGUGGGGAGCAAACAGG